AUUUGUGCGCCGAAUUUGCUGAGACUGCUUGCAUUUUUACCACUGGACAAAGACUGAUUACUUCUAUACAAUAAUAAUAAGGACAAGUGCUUGUGGCACUUGUGGUCUUCUCUGAACAGCAGUCUGGUGAACACUGACCGGCCUCAGUACACUGAAGAUCUAAGAAAACACUUCACACCCUACAACCCCUAAAAAUAACCCAGAUUUGACAGCAGUGCACACCCAUCUGAGGCCGACCUGUUUUACUUCAUGAUCACCCCAGAUACUUCUACAACUAACCCGCUUUGUAAGUUCUCAUAUUAGCUACACCUUAAAGAAGCACAUCAUUUUGGGAAAAUUUCCUGUGUAUUUGCUGGUAAAUUACUGAGAUACUUUUAUAAAGAUUAAUGUUGAUUAUAUACCUAGUUCAACAAAAAAUGAAAAUUAUGCCACUUAAUCGCCCUCCUGUCAUUCCAUCCCAUAAAAAGUGUGCAUCUUCAAGACAUGAAUGAUUAUAUUAACCCCAAAACUCUGACACCCAAGAAACCAUAAAAUAAAUCCAUAUGAAUGGAGCCGUGUAAUCUACUUUUGGGCCAAACUGUUCAAUGAAUGGUAAGGAGCAGUUUCAGUUAUAUUUCCACUUGAACUUGGUUAGGCAUAGUCUGAUCACAAACCAUUCUUGAUCUGGAAUUAUUA